rnacentral:rRNA from 1 species
UACGUAGGCAGCGAGCGUUGUUCGGAGUUACUGGGCGUAAAGGGUGUGUAGGCGGUUGUUUAAGUUUGGGGGGAAAUCUCCCGGCUCAACUGGGAGGGUGCGCCGAAUACUGAAUGACUUGGAGUGCGGGAGAGGUGAGUGGAAUUCCUGGUGUAGCGGUGAAAUGCGUAGAUAUCAGGAGGAACACCGGUGGUGUAGACGGCUCACUGGACCGUAACUGACGCUGAGACACGAAAGCGUGGGUAGCAAACAGG